GCAUGACUGACUGCACUCCUAGUCUCUCAGAGAGUGUGUCCUCAGCUGUGAAUCACUUGUGUUCAACACACACCUAUGCUCACGAGCGCACACACAGUCCACUCGUCUUUCACCCACGAGGAGAGAGUGGAGCAGAGGAGAUAAUCUCUGAAACGUCACCCCGCUGUCAAAGUGGGGCUGAUAAGUUGCUAUGGCUUAGAGCUGGUGAGAUAAGACUUCCCAGGGCACAGACGCAAGUCAUCAGCGCCUGUUAGACCACAUGGAGAAACGUAGAGAGCCGCUCUCAUCCAGUUUUCUGCCUGUCACUUGGAAAUGAUGCAUCUGCCGUCACCUGUGCUUUCUGAGUGUGACCAGAGGAUAACCUCUCCUCAUCCUCACUCUCAGCACCUCUUAUCUGUGAGUCAUCAAACCCCAGGGGAGUGGAACAGUGGAAAUGUGCACGCUUUGAGCCAACUUUAAUAUGCAAAGUGUCCAACCGUCUCAAAAAGUCGUUGUUCAUUCAGUUUCGUAACACCGGUAGCUCAUCU